ACUCACAUCUAAUCCACAACAGUGCUUUACUAGUCAGCCCUCGGGUCCUUAGUUUCCUUAGUAGCCUCUUGUUAGGGACUUUGUCCAAAGCCUUUCUGCAUGUCUAUAUGAAUUAUGUCAACCAGUUCUCCCUUAUUCACCAGUCUGUUGACCUGUUCCCAAGAGUCUGUUAUAGAGAUGUGAAUUUCCUUUACAGAAACCGCCUUGGCUCAUCUGUAUCAUAUCAAGUAGUUGUUACAGAUUUCUAUUUUAAAUAAUCUCUUCAUUCAGCCUGCCCAGCGCUUAAUUAAGCCUUGCUGAUUUGCAAUAUGCGGGAUGAACAUUUCCAAAGAGGCGGCCUUGGAGGCUUCCCAUAGAGCAGCUGAUUUGAGCAGGAUUAUCACUUUUUUGUCAGUUGCUCGGCCACGUCUUUCUCACUGCAGGAAAAAAAGAAAUUGUUCCUAAGGCGGAGCAAGCGGAAACCAAUACAAUUAAAUACUUUGCUUUGCCUGCCAAGGACAUUUGACUGCUACUGUGCUACAUCAGGGAGGAGGUGCUGGGGGUGCUCUGCAUUGUCAUCUGGAGAAUGUCAGCGUGUAGAAAAGCUCUCCCCAGAUUGGGAUGCUGGAUACGAGGCAGCCACAGUUGGAGAUGCCCAGACAGCUCUUUGAGUCUAUCACUGCGAGAUGCUUCCUUUGCACCUCGGACUACUUCUGUGGCUCUUUACAAGGACAACGUUCAUAUCAGAAUUCCAUGCAGUGCUGACUCCCGUCCUGGCUUUGCAUAAGGGUGGAAAUACCCUUCCUGGUGCUAUGUGCUGCCUUAGAGGACAGCAGGGGACCUCCAGCCAAACCCCCAUGUGACGGCCUGUUUUGAAGCAUUAUCCAGCAUGACCCCUCUGGCCUUCUCAAGGUCCUUUCCAGGAUUUUGCACUCCUGAUUCCCAUGUAAGGUUGCAUUCUACUGACUUCUCUAUGCCGUGGAGCAAGCUCAUUGUCCCUGACCAUGGAUAUAUUAGUAUGGGUGGAGUGCAUUGUACUCCGAUGAUACUUCUAUGCUAGCAAAUGCCUUUUUAAUACCAAUACAGCAACUACACUUUAAAUUACCGGGGCUGUGCCAUUCUGAUCAUCAGAGGAUGUGAAUGUGGCCUGGAA
ensembl:lncRNA